GCACCAGUGGUCUAGUGGUAGAAUAGUACCUUGCCACGGUACAAAGCGGGGUUCGAUUCCCGGCUGGUGCA
rnacentral:tRNA from 1 species